CUCUCGCGUGCUGGUCAGCACAGCAGCACACAAGCUGCACUGAAUCAUACCGGACGGAUCUGAACUGCUCCCAGACCAGAUUUUGACCCAGUUGCAUAUAUUUGCUCACCAAAGAGCAUCCACGCACUCAUAUUCACAAUGUACGGAGCUGAGAAUGGAUAUGCACUGACCUUCCUGGGAAAGAAAGUAGGGAGACAUCACACUGUGGCCCCCGCAGGCAAACAACUUGCCUGGGAGACGACUAACAGGUCGACCUGCCCCGAGGACCCCGAGGUGUCCUUACGCCCUAGACGGGUCCCAGUGGCAGCGCAGGUGAUGGAGGAUUUACCGGGCAGUGUGCCAGAGCUGAAGGAUGAGAGGCCGUGUCCAAUAAUUCACAACACACAGUUUGACCAGUACGAGGACAGCGCGGCAGGUCAGACCAGUAAACGUCCCCCAACAAGCACAGACAGGCGAUCACAGAGGUGUAAACUGUAUAAACUCAUAUAAAACCUUCGGGGUCAUUCACCUCUGCCUGCUCACUCAGGUGUUUGGUGUCUGUAAUUCCUGACAUAACUUCUGUUUCUCCACUAAAAGGUGUUUCUGGAAGGAAAGUAACAGCAUGACGGAACGCCCACAUUCCUGUAUGAGGAGACAAAGAGGGGCGCGGGUGGGAUGGGAAUGUGAGAGACAAAACGUGGUGAAAUAUUCACAGUGUGAGGCGUCUGUCAAUAUUUUAGAUAAGCCUGGCUUCAAAACUUCAAACUGAAA